rnacentral:misc_RNA from 1 species
GGGAACCAGAGAAGGUAUAUUAUAUGCCUUGGAGGAGAAAAUAAUCAUAGAUGUCGCCAACACAAACAGAGAUCUUUUACGUGAUGGUGGUAGUGACCCUCCUUCAAUGAGUGCAAUAUUUCUCAAUGAAAAUGCAAGCUGAAAACUUUGCACUAGAGCUUCACGGUAUGAGUUCUUUGCUCUAGAAAAUAGCAAGACCAAGCUAAAUGUGUG